UCUUGACCUCCACAGAACUUUCCAGAGAUGGAUUGGUGCCUUCGGGAACUGUGAGACAGGUGCUGCAUGGCUGUCGUCAGCUCGUGUUGUGAAAUGUUGGGUUAAGUCCCGCAACGAGCGCAACCCUUAUCCUUUGUUGCCAGCGGUUCGGCCGGGAACUCAAAGGAGACUGCCAGUGAUAAACUGGAGGAAGGUGGGGAUGACGUCAAGUCAUCAUGGCCCUUACGACCAGGGCUACACACGUGCUACAAUGGCAUAUACAAAGAGAAGCGACCUCGCGAGAGCAAGCGGACCUCAUAAAGUAUGUCGUAGUCCGGAUUGGAGUCUGCAACUCGACUCCAUGAAGUCGGAAUCGCU
rnacentral:rRNA from 1 species